GUUUAUAUCAUCCUGAACGUGUCUGAUCUCAUCUGACCUUGGAUGCUAAGCAAUGUCAGGCCUGGUUAUUAUUUGGAUGGGAAACUGCCUAGGAAUGCUGGGUGCUGUAGACU
rnacentral:rRNA from 1 species